UCAUUUCCUUCACAAUACACAUGAGCCUAGAAAGGGAGAGAGAGAAAAAAUCAACAUUAGUAUAGGUUCAGCCCUGACAUCCUAAAUGAGGCUCUAAAUUUUCUUAUGGCUCAAGUCAUCAUUCUACAGCAACAUCAACAUUCAUCUCCCAAGGAAAGAAUUGCAAACCUAUGUUCUACCAGUAACCUGGGUGUAACCUUACUAUAAAUGAAAACAUGCUUCCUUUUUUUUAACUAUACAAAAGAUUCUGAGUUAGGCUGCGCAUGGUGGCUCAUGCCUGCAAUCCCAGCAUUUCGGGAGGCUAAGGUGGGCAGAUCACUUGAGGCCUGCUUAUCUGUUUUACUUGUGUCCCAAUGUCCCCCAAAUACCCACCUCAUACAUGAGGCCGUAUGGGAUAAAGGUUAGUUAAGUGCUCAAGGGUCUGUGCCUAAUUUAGAGCCUAGCUCUGCUGCUUUUCUCUGUGGAAACUUGGAGAAGUAUUUGAUCUCUUCCUACUUCACUUACUCCAAUAUUAGAAUAUUGUACAAUACUGUACUUCUAGAGAAGUACAAUAGAACCUAAUUUAUAGGGUGCACCUAUGCAUUUAAGAACAUUAUACACAUAAUACCGUAUCUCAAUAGGUCUAAGACUCGCAUUUUACUCUCUGGAACUGGGAUGCAUCUUACAAUGGAUGACAUAAGCAGUGAAUCACAGUUCACCAUUUUCAGUGCUUAUCCUUUGUUGUGUAUAAAAUAAUGGUGUGCCUUACAAUUACUUUUUGUAAAUUGGAUGACAUUAGGUAUUAACAACAGUACUGGCACAUUAGUUGUUACAGCUCCGCAAGGCUUUAUGCACAAUUAUGUAAUCCCCAAAGCUCUGAAAACCGAAAUUUACAAAAUUUAGCACCCCAACUGGUUUGGUAGCCAAGUGCAGGUUAUAGGGAGCUGGAAGGGGAAGGGGGUCACAGUAGGUGGCAUCGUUCCUUUCUGACUGCCCGCCCCCCGCAUGCCGUCCCGCGAUAUUGAGCUCCGAACCUCUCGCCCUGCCGCCGCCGGUGCUCCGUCGCCGCCGCGCCGCCAUGGAAUUCGAACGCUGACGUCAUCAACCCGCUCCAAGGAAUCGCGGGCCCAGUGUCACUAGGCGGGAACACCCAGCGCGCGUGCGCCCUGGCAGGAAGAUGGCUGUGAGGGACAGGGGAGUGGCGCCCUGCAAUAUUUGCAUGUCGCUAUGUGUUCUGGGAAAUCACCAUAAACGUGAAAUGUCUUUGGAUUUGGGAAUCUUAUAAGUUCUGUAUGAGACCACUUUUUCCCAUAGGGCGGAGGGAAGCUCAUCAGUGGGGCCACGAGCU
rnacentral:lncRNA from 1 species